rnacentral:rRNA from 1 species
AGCGAACGCUAGCGGCAGGCUUAACACAUGCAAGUCGAGCGCCAGGUUUCGGCCUGGAGCGGCGAACGGGUGAGUAACACGUAGGUCACGUACCCUACGGUGGGGAAUACCCCGGGGAAACUCGGAUCAAUGCCCCAUAUGUCCGAAAGGAUGAAAGCGCUUCGGCGCGCCAGAGGAUCGGCCUGCGGCCCAUUAUUUAAUCCUAGUUGGUGAGGUAACGGCUCACCAAGGGUACGAUGGGUAGCUGGUCUGAGAGGACGAUCAGCCACACUGGAACUGAGACACGGUCCAGACUCCUACGGGAGGCAGCAGUGUGGAAUAUUGGACAAUGGGCGAAAGCCUGAUCCAGCCAUGCCGCGUGAGUGAUGAAGGCCUUCGGGUUGUAAAGCUCUGUCGUGGGGGAAGAAGUUCUGACGGUACCCCACAAGAAAGCACCGGCUAACUCCGUGCCAGCAGCCGCAGUAAUAC